CGACACAGAUAUUGACCGUCGGUAGAAUCUCCUCCAACGAAAUGCUCUCAAUGAUCUCGGUGGAGAAGUUCUCCCUCUGCAAAAACCCCUGGCAAGGCUCAUCCAGAACCUCUGGCUCGGCUUUGGAGGUAGGCUCGUUUUCCGAUGAUGGUAGUGGCUGUGACUUCGUACGAUGCAUCAUUGGAGAUGGCUAGUUCUGGUAGAGGAAGGCUGAGACCGGAGAGCAAAGGAGGCAAUUCUCUCUGUCUGGUUCUUCCUUCUUUGCCAUAGCUCUCUCUCGUUAAGAGUGUUGGGGGUAUGAUUUGGACUGGGAAGAGAGUUUGCAUUAUGUGACCUUGCACUGUAGCAUUUGUGUGGGUUGAUGGACAACUAAGGAUUGGAUGCU